rnacentral:tRNA from 1 species
GCUUGAAAGCGUAUAGCAGCAGAUUCUUACUCUGUAGGUGGACUUUUUAAUAUAGUUCUCAAGUU